UACGUAGGGGGCAAGCGUUGUCCGGAAUCAUUGGGCGUAAAGCGCGCGUAGGCGGCCCGGUAAGUCCGUUGUGAAAGUCAAAGGCUCAACCUUUGAACGCCGAUGGAUACUGCCGGGCUAGAGUCCGGAAGAGGCGAGUGGAAUUCCGGGUGUAGCGGUGGAAUGCGUAGAGAUCCGGAAGAACACCGGUGGCGAAGGCGGCCUGCUGGGCAGUAGCCGAAAGGCUUUCAAGCUGACACUGAGGCGCGACAGCGUGGGGAGCAAACAGG
rnacentral:rRNA from 1 species